rnacentral:rRNA from 1 species
GACGAACGCUGGCGGCGUGCCUAACACAUGCAAGUCGAACGGAGUAAGGAGAGCUUGCUUUCCUUGCUUAGUGGCGAACGGGUGAGUAACGCGUGAGGAACCUGCCUUUCAGUGGGGGACAACAGUUGGAAACGACCGCUAAUACCGCAUAAUGUAUUUAGGGGGCAUCCCUGGGAUACCAAACCUUUAUGUGCUGAAAGAUGGCCUCGCGUCUGAUUAGAUAGUUGGUGGGGUAACGGCCUACCAAGUCAACGAUCAGUAGCCGGUCUGAGAGGAUGAACGGCCACAUUGGGACUGAGAUACGGCCCAGACUCCUACGGGAGGCAGCAGUGGGGAAUAUUGGGCAAUGGGGGAAACCCUGACCCAGCAACGCCGCGUGAAGGAAGAAGGCCUUCGGGUUGUAAACUUCUUUUACCAGGGACGAAGAACGUGACGGUACCUGGAGAAAAAGCAACGGCUAACUACGUGCCAGCAGCCGCCGCGGUAA